AGUGAACGCUGGCGGUAGGCCUAACACAUGCAAGUCGAACGGCAGCACAGUAAGAGCCUGCUCUUACGGGUGGCGAGUGGCGGACGAGUGAGGAAUACAUCGGAAUCUACUUUUUCGUGGGGGAUAACGUAGGGAAACUUACGCUAAUACCGCAUACGACCUACGGGUGAAAGCAGGGGAUCUUCGGACCUUGCGCGAUUGAAUGAGCCGAUGUCGGAUUAGCUAGUUGGCGGGGUAAAGGCCCACCAAGGCGACGAUCCGUAGCUGGUCUGAGAGGAUGAUCAGCCACACUGGAACUGAGACACGGUCCAGACUCCUACGGGAGGCAGCAGUGGGGAAUAUUGGACAAUGGGCGCAAGCCUGAUCCAGCCAUACCGCGUGGGUGAAGAAGGCCUUCGGGUUGUAAAGCCCUUUUGUUGGGAAAGAAAAGCAGCAGGUUAAUACCCCGCUGUUCUGACGGUACCCAAAGAAUAAGCACCGGCUAACUUCGUG
rnacentral:rRNA from 1 species